GAUGAACGCUGGCGGCGUGCCUAAUACAUGCAAGUCGAGCGAACAGACGAGGAGCUUGCUCCUCUGACGUUAGCGGCGGACGGGUGAGUAACACGUGGAUAACCUACCUAUCAGACUGGGAUAACUUCGGGAAACCGGCGCUAAUACCGGAUAAUAUAUUGCACCGCAUGGUUCAAUAGUGAAAGACGGUUUUGCUGUCACUUAUAGAUGGAUCCGCGCCGCAUUAGCUAGUUGGUAAGGUAACGGCUUACCAAGGCGACGAUGCGUAGCCGACCUGAGAGGGUGAUCGGCCACACUGGAACUGAGACACGGUCCAGACUCCUACGGGAGGCAGCAGUAGGGAAUCUUCCGCAAUGGGCGAAAGCCUGACGGAGCAACGCCGCGUGAGUGAUGAAGGUCUUCGGAUCGUAAAACUCUGUUAUUAGGGAAGAACAAAUGUGUAAGUAACUAUGCACGUCUUGACGGUACCUAAUCAGAAAGCCACGGCUAACUACGUG
rnacentral:rRNA from 1 species